rnacentral:rRNA from 1 species
CGCGAAAGUAGUUGAGCUAAGUAAUGUUAAUUAUUAGAUUAUUGUAUGUGGCAUAAUAUAAAAAAAAAUUUACUUAGGGGUGAUAGGCUUUUCAAAUCUACAUAUAUCUCGAUACUUUAGAUAAGCAUAUAGUGUUAAAACAAUUAAGUAGUGAUAAGGCUGCUUAAUAACAUAAAUUAAUUAUUACACUAAUAUCUUAGUUUAAUCGUUAGAUAUUUCCCUAUUAUAUUAUUAUUUUAUGUUUUUUAUGUUAAAUAUAAAGUAACAUUGAAAUAAGUUUACGUGUUAAUAAUGUAACUAUUAGUAAAUUAGGAGCUAUCAAAAAUGAACUCGGCAACAUACCUUUCAACUGUUUAUCAAAAACAUAGCUAUAAGGACAUAUUUGUAGUAAUUUCUGCUCAAUGAUUUAUUAAAUAGCCGCAGUACCCUGACUGUGCAAAGGUAGCGCAAUAAUUUGACUUAUAAUUGAAGUCCUGUAUGAAAGAAUACAUGGGGGGUAUCUUUAUUUUUGAUAAUUAUUGAACUUAAUAAAUAAGUGCAAAUUCUUAUAUUUAAAUGAUAGACGAGAAGACCCUAGAAAUUUUUAUAAAUUGACUUAUUUUUUUUUGUUGGGGCAACAGAGUAACAAGAAAUUUACUUUAUUGAACAAGAAUACUUGUAUGAUAGAGUAAAUUACUCUAGGGAUAACAGCGUAAUAUUAAAAAGUUUGCGACCUCGAUGUUGGACUAGGGAACAAUUGCUUAGAA